UACGAAGGUCCCAAGCGUUCUCCGGAUUUAUUGGGUUUAAAGGGUGCGUAGGCGGGCUAUUAAGUCAGUGGUGAAAGCCCCAAGCUUAACUUGGGAACUGCCAUUGAUACUGAUGGUCUUGAGUACAUUUGAGGUGGGCGGAAUGUGUCAUGUAGCGGUGAAAUGCUUAGAUAUGACACAGAACACCGAUUGCGAAGGCAGCUCACUAAACUGUAACUGACGCUGAGGCACGAAAGCGUGGGGAGCAAACAGG
rnacentral:rRNA from 1 species